CCUACGGUGUGCAGCAGUGGGGAAUAUUGGACAAUGGGCGAAAGCCUGAUCCAGCCAUGCCGCGUGUGUGAAGAAGGCCUUCGGGUUGUAAAGCACUUUCAGUGGGGAAGAAAGCCUUGGGGCUAAUACCCUCGAGGAAGGACAUCACCCACAGAAGAAGCACCGGCUAACUCCGUGCCAGCAGCCGCGGUAAUACGGAGGGUGCGAGCGUUAAUCGGAAUUACUGGGCGUAAAGCGCGCGUAGGCGGUCUGAUAAGCCGGUUGUGAAAGCCCCGGGCUCAACCUGGGAACGGCAUCCGGAACUGUCAGGCUAGAGUGCAGGAGAGGAAGGUAGAAUUCCCGGUGUAGCGGUGAAAUGCGUAGAGAUCGGGAGGAAUACCAGUGGCGAAGGCGGCCUUCUGGACUGACACUGACGCUGAGGUGCGAAAGCGUGGGUAGCAAACAGGAUUAGAUACCCCUGUAGUC
rnacentral:rRNA from 1 species